rnacentral:rRNA from 1 species
UACGUAGGGGGCAAGCGUUAUCCGGAAUUACUGGGUGUAAAGGGAGCGUAGGCGGCAUGGUAAGUAAGAUGUGAAAGCCCGAGGCUUAACCUCGAGGAUUGCAUUUUAAACUAUCAAGCUAGAGUACAGGAGAGGAAGGCGGAAUUCCUAGUGUAGCGGUGAAAUGCGUAGAUAUUAGGAAGAACACCAGUGGCGAAGGCGGCUUUCUGGACUGAAACUGACGCUGAGGCUCGAAAGCGUGGGGAGCAAACAGG